ACUUGUGGUUGAAAGAGACCGAGAAAGAGUCAGAUGCAUACCCUGGAUGGGUCACCGUGGCUGGGCGGAGGGGACAAGUCCCAUUCUACAAGUCAGAUAACAUGAGCUGCUCUGUCCUGCUAGGCUGUGGGGAUGCUGCCUAGUCAGGAAAGCCCCUGGGCAUGAAAGGAGUCACAGUCACUUCCCAGGCCUACCCUGUGCUGGUGUUCUUCAGAAUUUCCCUUUCCCGUGAGAUUUCUUUUUAGGAUAACCAAAAAUGAUCAUUAAGCCAAAAUGAACAAUGUGAUACCCUCAUCUUAAACUGGUUCCUGUGCUCUUCCCACUUGGAGGGAGAUGGCUCCCAUUGUGGGGGCCUGGCCCCCUGUGUCCCAUGCCAGCUGGGGUCCCGCCAGUGCCUGGCUGCUUCUGGAGUCAUCACACUCAGGCUCCUCCACUCCUAGCUUCUGCUGUGGGUUUAUUUUUCCAUCAUCCAUGGGCAGCAGGGCCUCCAUAACCAACAGCUCACCUCACAUCCUAAAGUGUAAACACUCACCUACGAAGCCAGGUGUGGUACACACGCCUCUGAUCAGAUAUUUCAAGUUUAUGUUUUGAACACAUUUCACCAGCCCUUUGUGGUUCUUCUGGGUACACACAGUGCUGUGUCCUUCUGAACAAAUAGCCACUCCUGUAUUUCCAAAUGCCCUUUGACCUCCUUUCCAUGGGCAGUGACCUCUUUUCAAAUGCACAUGGUCAGCUUUCCUCUCCCAAAGGCCUCUGAAGUCAGCUUCCCAGUGAGCCCAGGCCUUGUGUACGGUGCAGUGGUUCCUGGAAGAUUGGUGGAAGCAGCGCUGGACUUUAGCCAUGGUCAAUGCCCAUCUGUACACAGGUGCCGUCAUGGAGGAGGGGCAGCCAUGGGAGAAAGCGAGGAACUGAUUAUAAACCCAGAUGGAAAUACAAGAGAUCCUGAAUAUCCAAAACAGCCUCAGCAGGGGUCAAAGUGCAUUGACUCACACCUGGCAAUUUCGAAGUUUACCAAAAAGCAACAGUAUCUCUGAUGACAUUCUCGUUGAUAUAAACAUAAAAAGCACUUGGCAAUAGGAUUAGGUUUAUGAUCAGCUGAUUUUAAGAAGGGUAUCAAGACAAUUGAAGGAUGAAAGAGUAAGGUACUGAGCGAAUGGUGCCCCGGGAAUCUGACGUUUACAUGUGAAGACAGGACCUGCAUCCCUGCCUUAUGCCAUGCAUAGGAAUUAGCUCAGAAGGAUCAUUUACCUAAUGUGUGGGUCUAGAACUCUGGAAAGGAAACAUUAGUUUAAAUCUUUGUGACCUCAGGUAGGCAAUGAUUUCUUACAUUUUAGCCCAAAAGAAAGUCACAAAAGAAAGAUGAAUUGCACUUUGUCAAAAUUUAAAUCUUUCCUGCUUUAAAGCACAUUCUUAAUGGUGAAAAUAUAACCCAUGCAAUUAUUGGAAUAAAACACUUACAGAUUGUAUAUCUAAUAUGGGACUUGUACAUCUAAUGUAUGCAGAUCUCUUACAAAAAUGAAUAGUAAAAUGAACAUCUAAGUAAAAAGUAAGCAAAGGAUUUGAACAGACCUUUCGUCAAAGAAGAUUUUCAAUGGCCAAUAACUACAUGAAAAGAUAUUCAACAUUGUUAGUUACUAGGGAAUGCAAAUCAAAACAUAAUGAGAUACCAUGUUACAUCCUUUACGAUAGCUAAAAUAAAGAAGACAGGAAAUAACAAACAUUGGUGAGGAUGUAGAGAAGUUGCUACCAGGGAUGUCAGUGGGGGUACAGUAGAAGUUCAAGGGAGCCAGGGAUGAAUGGCAAUUCAUUGUUGGCAGGCAUGUAAAAUGGUACAGCCUUUUUGUAAAAUAAUUUGGUGAUUCCUCAAAACGUUCAGUACUAGAAUUAUAAUAUGAUGCAGAAAUUCUGCUCCUAAUUAGAUACUCAGAGUAAUUAUCAUGAAAUCAUGUAAGCCUGUACACCAGUGUAUGUAGCAACAGAAUUCAUAACAAGAGAAAAGUGGAAACCACUCAAGUGCUUCUUGCGGACAAACAAUAUGUGGUAUCUUCACACAAAGGAAUAUUACUUAUCCACAAUAAAGAACAAGGCAUUAUCAAUACAUAGUACAUGAAUGAACCUUGAAUCAUUAUGCUGAGUGAAAGAAGCCAGACAGAAAGAUCACACAUUGUGUAAUUCCAUUUACAUGGGAUGUUUAUAAUAAGCAAAUCUGUGGAGUCAGACAGGAGUUUCAGGAUUGCCAGGGCUUGAAGGAGAAGGAAGGGAGAUUUGACUGCUAGUGAGCAUGUGGUUUCUUUUUGGGGUGAUAGAAAUGUUUUGAAUUAGAAUGCAGAACUCUCUGAAUAUACUAAAAUGCAUCGACUUACACACUUUGAAAAGAGAAUUCUUUAGUCUGUGAGUGGUAUCUCAAUAAAGCUCUUGUUAAAAAUAA